rnacentral:rRNA from 1 species
GACGAACGCUGACGGCGUGCUUAACACAUGCAAGUCGAAGGGAGUGGCGAACGGGUGAGUAACACGGGAGUAACCUGCCCUUUUCUUUGGGAUAAGCCUGGGAAACUGGGUCUAAUACUGGAUGGAUUGGGAUGGGCUCGCGGCUUAUCAGCUUGUGGGUGGGGUGAUGGCUUACCCAGGCGUUGACGGGUAGCCGGCCUGAGAGGGUUGUCGGUUCCACUGGGACUGCGAUACGGCCCAGACUCCUACGGGAGGCAGCAUUGGGGGAUAUUGCACAAUGGACGAAAGCCUGAUGCAGCCAUGCCGCGUGUAUGAAGAAGGCCUUCGGGUUGUAAAGUACUUUCAGCGGGGAGGCGUUACCCGCAGAAGAAGCACCGGCUAACUCCGUGCCAGCAGCCGCGGUAAUUC